CAACAUCCCUGGGAUGGGCUACAGCCUUCAAUAAAACUACAGUCAGGGAAUUCUUUGACAAUCUGGCUGUAGUGAUGGACAGGCGUGCCUUCCCUCCACAUAUGAUUUACAAUGUGGAUGAAACAGGUGUCUUUACAGUACAAAAGCCACAGCAGGUUGUGACAGAGACAGGAAAAAAGCAAGUUGGUUCUGUCACAUCGGCUGAGAGAGGAGAACUGGUGACUGUGGUGUGUGCAG